AAGAGAGAGAGAGAGAGAGAGAGAGAGAGAGAGACAGAGAGAUUGGCAAGAUUUGUGACCUGUUGCCACAAGGGCAACCAGUGAAGAACAAACACCAUUGUAAUUACAACCCAUAUUUCUGUUUAUUUAUUUUCCCUUUGUACUUUAACUAUUUGAACAUCAUUACACCACUCUAUAUAGACAUGAUAUGACAUUUGAAAUGUCUUUAUUCCUUUGAAACUUGUGAGUGUAAUGUUUACUAUACAUUUUUUGUUGUUCAUUUCACUUUAGUUUAUUAUCUAUUUCACUUGCUUUGGCAAUGUAAACAUAUGUUUCCCCUAGCAAUAAAGCCCUUAUUGAAUAAGUUGCAGAUGACAUCAUAAAUACUAGGUCUGGUAUUGAAUAAGUUCUAGAUGACAUCAUAAAUACUAGGUCUGGUAUUAAAUAAGUUCUAGAUGACAUCAUAAAUACUAGGUCUGGUAUUGAAUAAGUUCCAGAUGACAUCAUAAAUACUAGGUCUGGUAUUGAAUAAGUUGCAGAUGACAUCAUAAAUACUAGGUAUGGUAUUGAAUAAGUUCCAGAUGACAUCAUAAAUACUAGGACUGGUAUUGAAUAAGUUCCAGAUGACAUCAUAAAUACUAGGUCUGGUAUUGAAUAAGUUCCAGAUGACAUCAUAAAUACUAGGACUGGUAUUGAAUAAGUUGCAGAUGACAUCAUAAAUACUAGGUCUGGUAUUGAAUAAGUUCCAGAUGACAUCAUAAAUACUAGGUAUGGUAUUGAAUAAGUUCCAGAUGACAUCAUAAAUACGAGGUCUGGUAUUGAAUAAGUUGCAGAUGACAUCAUAAAUACGAGGUCUGGUAUUGAAUAAGUUGCAGAUGACAUCAUAAAUACUAGGUCUGGUAUUGAAUAAGUUGCAGAUGACAUCAUAAAUACUAGGUCUGGUAUUGAAUAAGUUCCAGAUGACAUCAUAAAUACUAGGUCUGGUAUUGAAUAAGUUGCAGAUGACAUCAUAAAUACUAGGUAUGGUAUUGAAUAAGUUCCAGAUGACAUCAUAAAUACUAGGACUGGUAUUGAAUAAGUUGCAGAUGACAUCAUAAAUACUAGGUCUGGUAUUGAAUAAGUUGCAGAUGACAUCAUAAAUACUAGGUAUGGUAUUGAAUAAGUUACAGAUGACAUCAUAAAUACGAGGUCUGGUAUUGAAUAAGUUGCAGAUGACAUCAUAAAUACGAGGUCUGGUAUUGAAUAAGUUGCAGAUGACAUCAUAAAUACGAGGUCUGGUAUUGAAUAAGUUACAGAUGACAUCAUAAAUACUAGGUCUGGUAUUGAAUAAGUUCCAGAUGACAUCAUAAAUACGGUUUUCCAGAUGUCGCUUUCAGCAGUUUGUUUGAUUAGCAAAGGAGCUGUAAAGGCUUCUGACCUCGAUUGACCUCUGACGCGAGA